rnacentral:rRNA from 1 species
CCAAUAGCGUAUAUUAAAGUUGUUGCAGUUAAAAAGCUCGUAGUUGAAUUUCGAGAUCGGUUUAUUGGUCGUGCUAUUGUACGUACUGGUAUUACCGGUUUCUCCUUUCUGACGAACCUUAAUGCCAUUAAUUUGGUGUUUUGGGAAAUCAGGACUGUUACUUUGAAAAAAUUAGAGUGUUUAAAGCAGGCUCACGCUUGAAUACAUUAGCAUGGAAUAACGGAAUAGGACGUUUGAUUCUAUUUUGUUGGUUUCUAGGAUCGACGUAAUGAUUAAUAGGGAUAGUUGGGGGCAUUAGUAUUCAAUUGUCAGAGGUGAAAUUCUUGGAUUUAUUGAAGACUAACUACUGCGAAAGCAUUUGCCAAGGAUGUUUUCAUUAAUCAAGAACGAAAGUUAGGGGAUCGAAGACGAUCAGAUACCGUCGUAGUCUUAACCAUAAACUAUGCCGACUAGGGAUCGGAUGAUGUUAAUUUUUUAAUGACUCAUUCGGCGCCUUAC